rnacentral:rRNA from 1 species
UACAGAGGGGGCAAGCGUUGUUCGGAAUUACUGGGCGUAAAGGGCGCGUAGGCGGCCUGCUAAGUCGAACGUGAAAUCCCUGGGCUCAACCCUGGAACUGCGUCCGAUACUGGUUGGCUUGAAUCCGGGAGAGGGAUGUGGAAUUCCAGGUGUAGCGGUGAAAUGCGUAGAUAUCUGGAGGAACACCGGUGGCGAAGGCGGCAUCCUGGACCGAGAUUGACGCUGAGGCGCGAAAGCCAGGGGAGCAAACGGG